GACGAAGGAUGCAAGCGUUAUCCGGAUUCAUUGGGGUUAAAGGGCGCGUAGGCGGAUUUGUAAGUCAGUGGUGAAAUCUCUUCGCUUAACGAAGAAACUGCCAUUGAUACUGCAGAUCUUGAGUACAGUUGCCGUUGGCGGAAUAUGACAUGUAGUGGUGAAAUACUUAGAUAUGUCAUAGAACACCGAUUGCGAAGGCAGCUAACGAAGCUGUAACUGACGCUGAGGCUCGAAAGUGCGGGGAUCAAACAGG
rnacentral:rRNA from 1 species